rnacentral:rRNA from 1 species
GUUCCCUACGGGACGCAGCAGUGGGGAAUAUUGCACAAUGGGGGAAACCCUGAUGCAGCAACGCCGCGUGAAGGAAGACGGUUUUCGGAUUGUAAACUUCUGUUCUUAGUGAAGAAAAAUGACGGUAGCUAAGGAGCAAGCCACGGCUAACUACGUGCCAGCAGCCGCGGUAAUACGUAGGUGGCAAGCGUUGUCCGGAAUUAUUGGGUGUAAAGGGUGCGUAGACGGGAGUCUAAGUUAGUUGUGAAAUCCCUCGGCUCAACUGAGGAACUGCAACUAAAACUGGACAUCUUGAGUGCAGGAGG